AGUGAACGCUGGCGGUAGGCCUAACACAUGCAAGUCGAACGGCAGCACAGUAAGAGCUUGCUCUUACGGGUGGCGAGUGGCGGACGGGUGAGGAAUACAUCGGAAUCUACUUUUUCGUGGGGGAUAACGUAGGGAAACUUACGCUAAUACCGCAUACGACCUACGGGUGAAAGCAGGGGAUCUUCGGACCUUGCGCGAUUGAAUGAGCCGAUGUCGGAUUAGCUAGUUGGCGGGGUAAAGGCCCACCAAGGCGACGAUCCGUAGCUGGUCUGAGAGGAUGAUCGGCCACCUUGGAACUGAGACACGGUCCAGACUCCUACGGGAGGCAGCAGUGGGGAAUAUUGGACAAUGGGCGCAAGCCUGAUCCAGUCAUACCGCGUGGGUGAAGAAGGCCUUCGGGUUGUAAAGCCCUUCUGUGGGGAAAGAAAAGCAGCAGGUUAAGACCCCGCUGUUCUGACGGUACCCAAAGAAGAAGCACCGGCUAACUUCGUG
rnacentral:rRNA from 1 species